AUACUUACCUGGCACGGGAGAUACCAUGAUCACGAAGAUGGUUUUCCCAGGGCGAGGCUUAUCCAUUGCACUCCGGAAGUGCUGACCCCUGCGAUUUCCCCAAAUGUGGGAAACUCGCCUGCAUAAUUUGUGGUAGUGGGGGACUGCGUUCGCGCUCUUCCCUG
ensembl:snRNA U1 U1 spliceosomal RNA